CAGCCGCCGCGGUAAUACGAAGGGGGCUAGCGUUGUUCGGAAUUACUGGGCGUAAAGGGCGCGUAGGCGGCCAUUCAAGUUAGAUGUGAAAGCCCUGGGCUCAACCUAGGAAUUGCAUUUGAUACUGUUUGGCUUGAGUUCGGGAGAGGUGAGUGGAAUUCCCAGUGUAGAGGUGAAAUUCGUAGAUAUUGGGAAGAACACCAGUGGCGAAGGCGGCUCACUGGACCGACACUGACGCUGAGGCGCGAAAGCGUGGGGAGCAAACAGGAUUAGAGACCCGCGUAGUCCCUGUCUCUUAUAA
rnacentral:rRNA from 1 species